rnacentral:tRNA from 2 species
ACCCAGCUGGCUCAGUCGGUGGAGCGUCAGACUCCUGAUCUUGGGGUCAUGAGUUCAAGCCUCACGUUGGGUG